AUUGAACGCUGGCGGCAGGCCUAACACAUGCAAGUCGAGCGGGGUUUUCGGACCUAGCGGCGGACGGGUGAGUAAUGCGUAGGAAGCUACCCGAUAGAGGGGGAUACCAGUUGGAAACGACUGUUAAUACCGCAUAAUGUCUACGGACCAAAGUGUGGGACCUUCGGGCCACAUGCUAUCGGAUGUGCCUACGUGGGAUUAGCUAGUUGGUGAGGUAAUGGCUCACCAAGGCGACGAUCCCUAGCUGGUUUGAGAGGAUGAUCAGCCACACUGGAACUGAGACACGGUCCAGACUCCUACGGGAGGCAGCAGUGGGGAAUAUUGGACAAUGGGCGCAAGCCUGAUCCAGCCAUGCCGCGUGUGUGAAGAAGGCCUUCGGGUUGUAAAGCACUUUCAGUAAAGAGGAAGCGUUGAGUGUUAAUAGUACUCAGCGUUGACGUUACUUACAGAAGAAGCACCGGCUAACUCUGUGCCAGCCGCCGCAGUAAUAC
rnacentral:rRNA from 1 species